rnacentral:misc_RNA from 1 species
GAUGAAGAACGCAGCGAAAUGCGAUACUUGGUGUGAAUUGCAGAAUCCCGUGAACCAUCGAGUUUUUGAACGCAAGUUGCGCCCGAUGCCAUUAGGCUGAGGGCACGUCUGCCUGGGUGUCACGUAAAGCAUUGCCCCUCCGCAGCUCGCUCAAAGCGAGUCGUUGCUGUUCGGGGGGACGGAAAGUGACCUCCCGUGCCUCGUCGUGCGGCUGGUUUAAAAGAGAGUCACCGGAGAUCAGGAAAACGCAACAUUGGUGGAAGUCGUUACGCACCUCUUGCCAUAUUGCGCUGAGCCCGUUUACUGUGUGAGCAAAAUCGACCCUUUGGCGCCGCCCCAGGUGCGCGCUCGAACUGUGACCCCAGGUCAGGCGGGACUACCCGCUGAGUUUAAGCAUAUCAAUAAGCGGAGGA